ACUGAAGUUCUUGGGAAGUUCUCCAAGUGAAGAGGUCCCAGGUUCUGAGCUUGUUCCUGUCUUUAAAAAAAGGGCAAGCAGAGAAGGCAAGAGGAUAUAGCAAAUGUCAGCAGCCACAUGCAGCCUUACCUCCCAUGAGGAAGAGAAGCCCUGCCACGUACUGCAUAAGGCCUCGGUCCCAGCAACAGCCCAGGACGCCGAUGAUCCAGCCGAAGAGGAUGAUGGCCACUGCCAUACCCAUGAAGCCAGCUGUCAUUCUACGAAGAUCUGUGAGGAAGCAGGAGGAAAAUAGUUAGCACGAGAACAUGUGAUACAGUAGGGUCACAGGUACCCUAAGCUUGGGGUAGGGAGAAGAGGGUAGAGGCAUUUCAAGGGCAGGAAGACUACCUAUUGAGACCCCUACACAGGAGAGAAACACUGGUGGUGAAUGUCUUCUGUACAAGUGUGUUGUGAUAGCUGGGUUCCUAAGCACAGGGCAAGCACAUCAUCGCCUGUGUCUGACGGCUCGCUCCAGCUAGGCAUCUGUGCUAGGCAUGUGCUGCUCUUCCUGUGAGUCUGUCCCAUCCUGAAGAGACGGGUGCUGUCUCUAGUGUGGACAAUAGAGCCACUUGCUAAAAGCAGCACGUUAAGUGGUAGAGAGGACUCGAACCUAGAUAGCUGUGGCUAACAGCAUUAGGCUUUUAGAGAUGAGAGAGCAGUGAGGUGGGCUGCUGGAGAGAGCAGGGCUUCUGUAGACGGGCUGCCCUCCCUGCUUUAACCCAGGGUUUGCUGGACUGGUUCUCUGCUCCAUCCCAAGCAGGCUCUUGGAGCUUAGUUUUACCUGCAACCUUGGAAGCAGAGAAGAGCUGCAUCCCCCUCCCGUCGUCUGAGCCCCUGGAGCAGGCCCCUUCCUCGCAGUUACCCCUAUCCUCUGACUCAAGGGUCUGCCCCAGCGUCACAGCAAGGACUGUACCUGCUCCAUACAUCUCUGACCUAUCUGACAAAGCCAGGAAUGACUUGGUGAGGAAGGAGGUUGCUGGAAAAAUGCUGUUUGCAGCACAAGGGAGACGGAAGGACUGUUCCGUAUCUCUGCUGGCUACUUAGCAUCUUGCCCAACUCAGCUUCUUUGCUGGCUCCUUCCCCUGUGUGGCCAGAUGUCACCAGAACUACUGUCACAUGCUCCCUCUCCAUGUGUGGCUCUGGCCUGGACUUGUUUCCAGAAUGGUUUUCUUCUCUCACCCCCUUCCCGUAGAACUGACUCUUUACUUCCUGGGGAGCACUUCACCCAUCAUGUUGGUCACUCCUUCUUGAAUCUGCCUGCCUCCCCUACCUUUAAGGCAGUACACCAGCCCCAGCCUGCUAACAGGGCUCUAAGAAAGAGAAACCAAACAAAAGAACAAAAUCCCCAAGACAACAACAAAAAACCAAACCAUUUUUCUUGGCCUCUGCCCCAAACUCUAAAUUCUCUGCGGCAUCACAGAACAUCCUAGAGGGUCUCAAGGACAUUUUUCCUCUCUCAUGGAGUCAGGUACCUCACAUCCGCUGCUGCCCCAUCUCUCUUCUUGUCCCAGAGGAACAAACGCAACAGUGUCCCUGUGGGCACAGGGAUCUGAGUCUGUCAUAAGGAGGCUACCCCUCCAUCCUUUCUGUCUCUUACAUUCUAUCCACUCCUACCCUGAGUCAUGGAACACGUAAAAGGGACCUCUGCCUCCAGCAGAGCACAGUUUGCGUCAAGGUCCCUCUCUUUCGGGGUCUGGUCUCUUUGUUCUGCACGGAAAAUCAGACACUGUUAUCCCAGUCAAGAGAAGCUGACUAGAGAGAAAGGCACACACAUAAAGGGAAAACAAUCCUAUCCCUUCCAUCUGGGAAGGUGAAGCCAGCAGAAGCUGGACAGACAGUUCCCUAGUCCCAGACGCAGAGAUCCCUGAAUGGGUAACAGAGAAGGUAUCUACCCUGCCUGGUUCUCUUUUGUUUUUCUGAGCACCUAGCAGGCCUGCCCCAGCCAGGUGGAAGUGACACUCUGUAUUCACUUCUGUGAGUUGCUAAGGAUGCCUCAUUAUCACACAGCAGUGUGCAGAUUGCUCAUACUGCCAAAUGAGUCAGGGGAAGCUUUGCUGAAAGAGUCAUUUGAUGGCAAUGUUCACGCGCAAGCUCAGCCUCCUGCAUAGCCAGCCAUAACUAUGGCUGGAAUCCAUAGCCAUAGCUAAGGAUGGAAUAUCCCUGCCCAUGGGCUGCCCCAGUCCCUGUGGGUCAGCUCCUAUGGACUGAUAUUGCUUCUCCUUUCAUUCCCAUCUCUACAGUCACACUCAUGGCCACCAUGGGAUUCCUUCUUGCCUUACCAUAAGGUCCUGAUCAGACUUGUCAGCAGAGACAUGUGAGGCCAUGUCGAUUGAUUCUUAGGAACAGAUAAUAUGUGAUUAAUACUUUAACCACUGCUUGCUUAAUGGAAAAAGAAAGAGCCCAGCUCUACUACUGGGAAGUUUAGUAUCUUAAACAGAAGGUACUAAGUUCAGCACCCUCUCCUGGGUUUUUCCUUUUUCAUCCAGUGAAGGCUUCUGGGUCCUGCCCUUUUAACCCCAGUAAACUUACCUUUCCUGGAGGUCAAAUGCUCACUUGGCUUUAGUGCCCGGAAGUCCUUCACUGGCCCCAGACUAUAGACCCUUGGGAGCAAAGCUAUUACCUAAGGGGAUGAGAGGAUGGUCUCAUCACAUGAGUCCACACUGGCCAGAGAUGGACCUGUAGGUUGGUGAGGUAGGACGUCUAAAGAGGAUGCCAACCAAAAAAAAAAUAGGAGGUGACAUUUAUUGAAGGAUGAGAGCAAAGUGUUCUACUUAUAAGAAAAUGGGCAGGAGCAGAAAAGCAGACAAAUGGAGAAAAUAAUUGCUAUUCUGAAAGUUCCUGGCAGAUUCCAAUCAUCUGAGUCUCGGGUGUUGUGUGUAUGUGUUGAGGGGGAGGGCAGUUACCUUCUCUCUGUCUCAGCUCAGGUAAACUUCUGUGUCUCCCGCAGGGUAUUGUUGACUUAGGUAAAGGGUUGCUCUAGUUGUUGAUGUGGAAAUAGGAUGAAAAACAGAAGUCCUGACUGUGUUGCCAUUGACCCAGGAAAGAUUUUCACAUCACCCUUGAGUCUGGUUUUAUCCGUGUGAACAACCAGUUCUUUUCUCCUUAGAGAGUUAACCAAGUUAUCUGUGUGGUAGCUCAGGCAAGCUACUAUAAUAGGUCAGAAGGCAGGCAGAACAAGAAGUAUUCCAAUUUUACAGAUGAGAAAAAGGCAAAACCCAAAGACAAAUAAAUAAGUUAUCUAUGGUCUCAAAGCCAGCGGACUGCAAAUAGAGUUAACAGCUGCAUCAUUGAAUUGUGUGAGGAAACAGGAUAAAUAAAAGAAUUAAAAUUGAUGUGAGCAAAUGCACUUGGCAUUCCUUCUUCUAAAAUCAAGCCAGAACUGUAGCUAAGAGAUGGGGAUCAAAGGACCAAAGACAACAAGAAGGGUGGGGGCCUUGACACUGCUGGGGGGUGGAAGUGAGUGGGCUGAAUCCAAAGGCAGUGUCAGAGAAUCCCUACUGCCCAGCCCACAUGAAGUCUUCCGUUCCAACUCAAGAGAGGAUGGGGAGGGACUGGGGAGGAAAGAAGUAAGAAAAAGAAAAAGGGUAUAAAAAUAAAAAAUGGAUGGAUGAAAGAAGACAAUGUCUAGCUUUAAUUUACAUACAAAAUCUGGUCCAUGGAGCACUUGGGAAUGUUCGAAUGUAGAGGCAUUAGAGUGUAAUGUGUCUGUUGUUUAACAGUCUUUCUGGCUUUCUAUUUGCAUUUGAGUUAGUGCCAUCUGUCACUCUGUGGUCAUAUGCACAUGGUGCCACAGCUCUUCUACCUGCCUGCCAUCUUUCUCUUUAGGAAUAAGAAACUACCACUCAAUUCCCGCAGUUUCCUUGAACCCACAGAAAUAUCCUUUAAUUGGGAAAUUAAGCAGUUUGUAUUUCUCUGUCAUUUAAUGAAUUAAGAAAAAGGAAACAGAAAAGAAGAAAAGAAAGUGAAAAGUGUCUCCACUUUAGGAAGCUCUAAGUCACCUUUCCUGGCAGCUUUAGAAAACUUUUGGUUGGCUAUGAUGUGAAAUCUGUGACAACAGUCUCUACUGUCACACAGAGAAGAGCCUUGGAUGAAAAAGUCUGGUUCUGCGGGCAAUUAUGGAAGUGAAGAAUCUCAUGGACCAUGUUGGGUUUGAGUCCGGUAUCUGCGUUUCCUGACCCUCACAUUUAAUGUUCCAGUGUUUGAGAUUAGGAAGGUGCAUCCUAAACUCUUGAAUUUAGUCCAGCGUGAUGGGAAGAGGCGGGCAGAGGGACGAGGGCUGCGAAGAAGGAUGGAGGAAGAAACACAAGGAGAACCAUUAAAUAAAGCU
ensembl:antisense Gm26807 predicted gene, 26807